rnacentral:tRNA from 1 species
GGGCCUAUAGCUCAGCGGUAGAGCGACCGGCUCAUAACCGGUUGGUCCNAGGUUCGAUCCCUGGUGGGCCCACCA